UACAGAGGGGGCAAGCGUUGUUCGGAAUUACUGGGCGUAAAGGGCGCGUAGGCGGCCUCUUAAGUCGAACGUGAAAUCCCCGGGCUCAACCCGGGAACUGCGUCCGAUACUGGGAGGCUUGAAUCCGGGAGAGGGAUGUGGAAUUCCAGGUGUAGCGGUGAAAUGCGUAGAUAUCUGGAGGAAUACCGGUGGCGAAGGCGGCAUCCUGGACCGGCAUUGACGCUGAGGAGCGAAAGCCAGGGGAGCAAACGGG
rnacentral:rRNA from 1 species